AACGAACGCUGGCGGCAGGCUUAACACAUGCAAGUCGAACGCCCCGCAAGGGGAGUGGCAGACGGGUGAGUAACACGUGGGAACGUGCCCUAAGGUUUGGAAUAUUCCCGGGAAACUGGGAGCAAUACCAAAUGUGUCCGCAAGGAGAAAGAUUUAUCGCCUUAGGAUCGGCCCGCGUCAGAUUAGGUAGUUGGUGGGGUAAUGGCCUACCAAGCCGACGAUCUGUAGCUGGUCUGAGAGGACGACCAGCCACACUGGGACUGAGACACGGCCCAGACUCCUACGGGAGGCAGCAGUGGGGAAUCUUGGACAAUGGGCGAAAGCCUGAUCCAGCCAUGCCGCGUGGAUGAUGAGGGCCCUAGGGUUGUAAAAUCCUUUCGUUGGGGACGAUAAUGACGGUACCCAAAGAAGAAGCUCCGGCUAACUUCGUGCCAGCAGCCGCGGUAAUAC
rnacentral:rRNA from 1 species